CCCGUUGCUACCAUCCUUAUCUGUCCUUUCCCAUACGGCAUUCUCCCUUCCUCGUUAUUUGACCAUUCUAUCCCUUUUUUAUACUAAGUACUAUCCAAUGCUUAGAUCUUGAUGAGAUUUCUAUUCCUUUAGAUAAAAUGGCUUUGGCGUUAUUUUUUGCCAUUAAAGGAACCCUCGCCAGAUCAAGGCGGCGCGUUUUUACUACCGGUUUCCGGUGAAUGGCGGUUUCGUCAAAAAUUAGGGUUUGUUGUUGAACAAAGACAACAGAAUUUGGGGAUGAGC
rnacentral:lncRNA from 1 species